UCCCCACAGGGGCGGAUCUGGGAAACCAUGGGAGAUACCUGGAUGUGAUUGUAAAAUUCAGGAGGAAAAAAAAAAAGCAAUAAAAAACUUCACGCACUUUCCUCUUUGCCAAGGUUGGCUGACUCCCCAGAGGCCCCUCCGCCCAGUGAGUAAGAAUGAGAAGGAUUUCUUCUUUGUUCUAGGGAUAGUCAUAAGAGAUGCUGCUUCUUCCCCGAAGGGGUUUCAAGGAUAUUUUAGGAGUUGUGAUAGGUGAUGUCAUUAAAAAAAAAAAAGCAGUUUUUUUUGUUGUUGUUGUUUGUUUUCUAGUGCUGGGGAUUGAACCCAGGACCUGAGAAUGCUAAGUAUAUAUGUAUACACACUACCAUCUAAGCUAUGCCCCCACCCCACUUUUUAUUUAAGACAGUUUAGGGUUGGGGUGCCUGGGUUCGACUCCCAGCAUGACAAAGAAGUAAAUAAAAAACACCAAAAUCAAAUCAGCCCAUUUAUCAACAAGGAGAAAAAAAAUGAAUGUGUAUUUAUAGUCUCCCAGCCUGCUCUGAAAUUCAAAGCUGGAAAGCGUUUCAAAAAGCAGCAUAGACACGAGUAUGGAAAGUGAAAACACACGCGCCAGCACCGUCUAUGGUGGUUCAUUCAAUCUCCAUAACAACCUGCGGGGAAACUCUACUCAUUAGCCUUGUUUCUAGAACCUGAAGAGCUGAGUGGUUUUCCAGAGUUUGGGGCCUAACAAAACUCCAGGUCUCCAGGCCCUUGCUCCUGACUCAGGAUGUGCUGACUCCCUGGGGAACAGCCACUGUCCUGAACCUGACGUGCAGAUCACUCUCUUGGGGGGCAACUCAAAGGCUGGUGCCGUUUUCUGGCUGAUCUUCGUCAGAGCCCAUGGUAGAGCUAACAGCAGGAUUCUUCUCUUGAUAAAGAGAAACCCUCGGCCAGGCACAGUGGCACACUCUUGUAAUCCCAGCAGCUUGGGAGGCUGAAGCAGGA
rnacentral:lncRNA from 1 species